rnacentral:rRNA from 1 species
GAUGAACGCUGGCGGCGUGCCUAAUACAUGCAAGUCGAGCGAACGGACGAGAAGCUUGCUUCUCUGAUGUUAGCGGCGGACGGGUGAGUAACACGUGGAUAACCUACCUAUAAGACUGGGAUAACUUCGGGAAACCGGAGCUAAUACCGGAUGAUAUUUUGAACCGCAUGGUUCAAAAGUGAAAGACGGUCUUGCUGUCACUUAUAGAUGGAUCCGCGCUGCAUUAGCUAGUUGGUAAGGUAACGGCUUACCAAGGCAACGAUGCAUAGCCGACCUGAGAGGGUGAUCGGCCACACUGGAACUGAGACACGGUCCAGACUCCUACGGGAGGCAGCAGUAGGGAAUCUUCCGCAAUGGGCGAAAGCCUGACGGAGCAACGCCGCGUGAGUGAUGAAGGUCUUCGGAUCGUAAAACUCUGUUAUUAGGGAAGAACAUAUGUGUAAGUAACUGUGCACACCUUGACGGUACCUAAUAAGAAAGCCACGGCUAACUACGUG